CGGCAGGCAGUAAGCCAAAGGAAGUUAAGUUUCGUUUUCCUCUCUAGAAACACACACAUAAAAAAUAAAAAUAAAAAAAAAGUCCUGAUGAGCAUGAUAUGCUAUAAUGGUCAGUUCCUCAUUCCAACGUCUGUAACCAAAGAUCCUGGAAAAGUCAGGCACUGCAGUGGUCACUUCCUCAUUCUGAAAUCUCUCAGACUCUACACACACGAAAUCACCAACCUGGAAAGAAAUGAGUCACCAGGUUCCAGAUGUCAUCAGGAUGCCGGCCAGGCUUCCCUGGACUGAAGACCCCACCAAUGUGUCCUGGAGCUCAGCUUCCCCAGAGACCCAUCCUACUAGGGAAAGAGAGAGGCAGACUGGGAAUAUGGACCAACCAGUCAACGCCCAUGUUCAGCGGGCAAGCAAUUACAGAAGCCAGAC